UACGUAGGGCGCAAGCAUUGUCCGGAAUUAUUGGGCGUAAAGGGCUCGUAGGCGGUUUGUCGCGUCGGGAGUGAAAUCAUCUGGCUUAACUGGGUGCUUGCUUUCGAUACGGGCAGACUAGAGGUAUGCAGGGGAGAACGGAAUUCCUGGUGUAGCGGUGAAAUGCGCAGAUAUCGUCAAGAACACCGAUAGCGAAGGCAGCUUACUGGGCUGUAACUGACGCUGAGGCACGAAAGUGUGGGGAUCAAACAGG
rnacentral:rRNA from 1 species